UAAAGGGGUGAUCUGAAUGAAUGUCUGCUGUUAAAGGGGUGAUCUGAAUGAAUGUCUGCUGUUAAAGGGGUGAUCUGAAUGAAUGUCUGCUGUUAAAGAGGUGAUCUGAAUGAAUGUCUGUUGUUAAAGAGGUGAUCUGAAUGAUCUGAAUGAAUGUCUGCUGUUAAAGGGGUGAUCUGAAUGAUCUGAAUGAAUGUCUGCUGGUAAAGAGGUGAUCUGAAUGAAUGUCUGCUGUUAAAGAGGUGAUCUGAAUGAUCUGAAUGAAUGUCUGCUGGUAAAGAGGUGAUCUGAAUGAAUGUCUGCUGUUAAAGGGGUGAUCUGAAUGAUCUGAAUGAAUGUUUGCUGUUAAAGGGGUGAUCUGAAUGAAUGUCUGCUGUUAAAGAGGUGAUCUGAAUGAUCUGAAUGAAUGUCUGCUGUUAAAGAGGUGAUCUGAAUGAUCUGAAUGAAUGUCUGCUGUUAAAGAGGUGAUCUGAAUGAAUGUCUGCUGGUAAAGGGGUGAUCUGAAUGAAUGUCUGCUGUUAAAGAGGUGAUCUGAAUGAAUGUCUGUUGUUAAAGAGGUGAUCUGAAUGAAUGUCUGCUGGUAAAGGGGUGAUCUGAAUGAAUGUCUGCUGUUAAAGAGGUGAUCUGAAUGAAUGUCUGCUGUUAAAGAGGUGAUCUGAAUGAAUGUCUGCUGUUAAAGAGGUGAUCUGAAUGAAUGUCUGCUGUUAAAGGGGUGAUCUGAAUGAUCUGAAUGAAUGUUUGCUGUUAAAGGGGUGAUCUGAAUGAAUGUCUGCUGUUAAAGAGGUGAUCUGAAUGAUCUGAAUGAAUGUCUGCUGUUAAAGAGGUGAUCUGAAUGAUCUGAAUGAAUGUCUGCUGUUAAAGAGGUGAUCUGAAUGAAUGUCUGCUGGUAAAGGGGUGAUCUGAAUGAAUGUCUGCUGUUAAAGAGGUGAUCUGAAUGAAUGUCUGCUGUUAAAGAGGUGAUCUGAAUGAAUGUCUGCUGUUAAAGAGGUGAUCUGAAUGAAUGUCUGCUGUUAAAGGGGUGAUCUGAAUGAUCUGAAUGAAUGUUUGCUGUUAAAGGGGUGAUCUGAAUGAAUGUCUGCUGUUAAAGAGGUGAUCUGAAUGAUCUGAAUGAAUGUCUGCUGUUAAAGAGGUGAUCUGAAUGAUCUGAAUGAAUGUUUGCUGUUAAAGGGGUGAUCUGAAUGAAUGUCUGCUGUUAAAGAGGUGAUCUGAAUGAUCUGAAUGAAUGUUUGCUGUUAAAGGGGUGAUCUGAAUGAAUGUCUGCUGUUAAAGAGGUGAUCUGAAUGAUCUGAAUGAAUGUCUGCUGUUAAAGAGGUGAUCUGAAUGAAUGUCUGCUGUUAAAGGGGUGAUCUGAAUGAUCUGAAUGAAUGUC